rnacentral:lncRNA from 1 species
UCUCAUAUGAUUUAAUAAGAAAUGCAGAGUACCACUGAAGAUCACAGGCAGAAGAAACACCUGUGAAUUUCAGAAACCCCUUCAGGGCCACACUCUGUACCUAAGAAGACAAAGCCUGCUGUUCUCUGCCAUGCUGUCUACAUUGCCAGGAAGCAUCAAACCAAAUGAAUGGGAAGAGAGCAUAUGACAGCACAGUCUGUUACUGAGUAACUCCCCAGGAGUCAUCCUGGGUGUACCGGAACCUAACUGCAUUAAAAAUAAAAAGGAAACAUUUCUCCCUUGCCAGAGGGAAUCCAUCUACAAAAAGCUGCUGAGGAUGCUACAGUGGGCAAAGUCCUAAUGGGAAGGAAUCUUAUGCCAUCAUACUGUCCUCUCACAUAACCAUAUCCUUCUUGGGGGAUGGAAUAGACGGAAGAGGAAGACCUGAAUUCAAAUCCAGUCCAAGACACUACUUGCUGGGUAAGUCACUGAUCCUCUGUCUGCCUCAGGUUCCUCGAUUAUAAAAUGGAGAUAGUGAUAGCAACUGCCUUCCAGGGUUGUUGUAAAGAUCAAAUGAGAAUAUCUGUAAAAUAUCUGA